GAUGAAGAACGUAGUGAAAUGCGAUACUUGGUGUGAAUUGCAGAAUCCCGUGAACCAUCGAGUCUUUGAACGCAAGUUGCGCCCGAAGCCAUUAGGCCGAGGGCACGCCUGCCUGGGCGUCACACGUCGUUGCCCCCCCAUCUACUCCUUCGGGAUUGCGGGGGGCGGAUGAUGGCCUCCCGUGCGCCUAGCCGCGCGGUUGGCAUAAAUACCAAGUCCUCGGCGACGCACGCCACGACAAUCGGUGGUUGCGAAACCUCGGUUGCCCGUCGUGUGCGUUCGUCGCGCAUCGAGGGCUCGAAAAAAUGCUCGGCUCCGGCUCGGCUUUCAACGCGACCCCAGGUCAGGCGGGGUUACCCGCUGAAUUUAAGCAUAUCAAAAGCGGAGGA
rnacentral:misc_RNA from 1 species